rnacentral:rRNA from 1 species
CGGGGUGGAGUAAUGCUUGGGAAUCUAGCUUAUGAGGGGGAGUAACUACGGGAAACUGUAGCUAAUACCGCGUAGAAUCGGGAGAUGAAAGUGUGGGACCUUCGGGCCACAUGCCAUAGGAUGAGCCCAAGCGGGAUUAGGUAGUUGGUGAGGUAAAGGCUCACCAAGCCGACGAUCUCUAGCUGGUCUGAGAGGAUGACCAGCCACACUGGGACUGAGACACGGCCCAG